rnacentral:ncRNA from 1 species
GGAUAGCCCCUUCGUACGAAAGGAGUUGGGUAUAUUAACCUCUGGUUUACCUGUUGUUUAUACGCUUAAUAUUAGUCAUUGGCUUUUGCUUUUGAAAAAAAAUAAUCUGAAAAUUCAGAUUAUGGGUAUUGCUUUUACUCAAGUAUAUAUAUAUAGUAUAGGCAGGGCAGGAAAGCUAUGUUAGUUAAAGAUAAGUGCUGAAUGCAUAUAGGCACGAAACUUAC